UACAGAGGUCUCAAGCGUUGUUCGGAUUCAUUGGGCGUAAAGGGUGCGUAGGCGGCGCGGUAAGUCGGGUGUGAAAUCUUGGAGCUUAACUCCGAAACUGCAUUCGAUACUGCCGUGCUUGAGGACUGGAGAGGAGACUGGAAUUUACGGUGUAGCGGUGAAAUGCGUAGAUAUCGUAAGGAAGACCAGUGGCGAAGGCGGGUCUCUGGACAGUUACUGACACUGAGGCACGAAGGCCAGGGGAGCAAACGGG
rnacentral:rRNA from 1 species